rnacentral:rRNA from 1 species
CCAGUUGCUGGAAUUCGGCUUGCUUAAAGGGGCCGUAGCAGGUUUUGUAAAUUUCUUGUGAAACUGCCAGGCUUAACUUGGCAAUGUGCAGGAAACACUGCAAGACUAGAGACCGGGAAGGGUCGGAGGUAUUCCUGAGGGAGCGGUAAAAUGCUAUAAUCUCAGGAGGACCACCGGUGGCGAAGGCGUCCGACUAGAACGGAUCUGACCGUGAGGGACGAAAGCUAGGGGAGCAAACCGGAUUAGAUACCCGAGUAGUCCUAGCUGUAAACGCUGUGAGCUAGGUGUCGCACAUUCUACGGGAAUGUGCGGUGUCGUAAAGAAGUUACUAAGCUCACCGCCUGGGAAGUACGGUCGCAAGACUGAAACUUUAAGGAAUUGGCGGGGGCGCACCACAAGGGGUGCGGCGUGCGGUUUAAUCUAACUCAACACAGAGAACCUUACUAGGAGCGACGGCAAGAUGAAGGUCAUGCUGAAGACAUUACUCGAUGAGCCGAGAGGUGGUGCAUGGCCGUCGCCAGCUCGUGCUAUGAAGUGUCCAGUUAAGUCUGGCAACGAGCGAGACCUGUAUCUGCAAUUGCUAACGGCAUUACGAUGGACCGAGCACAUUGCAGGGACUGCCUUGGAAACAAGGAGGAAGGUGCAGGCUACGGUAGGUCCGCAUGCCCCUAAAAGC